GUCCCUGUAGCGCAAUGGAUAGCGAGUUGGAUUUCUAAUCCAAAGGUCGUGGUUCAAAUCUCACCUGGGAUG
rnacentral:tRNA from 1 species